ensembl:lncRNA
UUAAACAUUCACCAUAUAUUUAAAUCACACCUCAUAACUUGUCUGUUUCCAUUGAUGUUUAAAUCUAUUUCCCUUUUCAGAGAAGCAGUGUCUAUAUAACCUCUAGUGAACGUUACCAUCCAAUGCUAAUGUUUUCUCUUUAUAAAAACAACUUCCUAAAUGAAGGGGUCAAAUUGAAUACUUUUUUCAACAAUGAGUAAUUAGUGUUGAAAUAAGACAAGAAUGCUCAUCUUGAUCUUUAUUUUCUGUUGCUGGUCAGCAUCCGUCUGCAGCUAAAAUAUAUAUUUAAAUGACUACAAGAUCCCCUUCAUUUGCCUUCAUCAGUGCCAGUAUUAUUGUUCUGCUCUGGGUCAUCACAAUACUGAGUAAACUAACAAUUCUCAGGUUCCAUCCCUACCCAUCCUGGGUGGAAUGAAACGCCUCCUCGUUUACAUCACUCAAGUCGCCAAAUAAGAAAGGACCAGUCCCAGUCUCAUUUUCUAGUGACCAGUGCAGCCUCUUACUCAUUGGUUUUGCCUUGAUACCUUACGUAACAUCUUUCUGUGACAGUACAUCAGAUGCCCACCUGCAGCUCUGCUGGUGUUUUUUUUUUUAGGGAAUUGAUUGAUUGCACAAAAGGAAAAAAAUAAAAUUGCUGUUGUAUCCUAAGACUUUUUCAGCUGCAAGUAGCAUAAAAGCUGCUUGCAGCAGCUUAAUUCGAGAGAAGACUGAUUUUCCUCCAGGCUGGAUCACUGGUGUUGAGGGUCCCCGGCUGGCAGUGCAUGGUGCAGGCUCCCUCUGGCCUGUCUCUUCCCUCCUCAAUGCCUUUGCUUUUGUCCUUGUGCUGUCACCUUGUGAACUUCACAUCUGCAUAACAGGAAGUUCAGAAAAAGGGUAAGUGGGCAAAGCAUUGUCCAUCCUCUUCCGCCAUGCCUGGGAGAGAAAGGCAUUUAGAGUCAGCCUUGCAGGGCCUUCCCCUAGGUCCUAUUGUCCUGGACAGCGUCAAACGACUGCAUCUGGAUGUGAGAACUAUUGGAAAGAUGACAUUUCUAGUGGAGCAUAUAGCUGUCCUGAACAAAAUCAGGGUUUGCUCAUCAAGGAAGAGGGAAAUGCACUUCGGGUGGACAGCUCAGAGCCGUGGUAACUACAGGGCUCCCACGAGGACAGGGUACCACAGUCUCGUGUUAGGAUGAAGCAGUGGUCCUUUUACAGGUAGUUCACAGUUGGUACGGAUAUUUUCUGCUUCUUUUUUUGUCCUUGUGAAAAGAUCUUGGCCAUUAGAUUUACUCCUGCUGGGUAAAAUUUUUAUUGAAGACUUAGAAUGAAUCAGAGGUUAUUCCUGCUCCUUGAGGUAGUGAGUGGCUCACAGUACAUACUUAGAAGUGAGAAUAAAAUCAUGACUGUUCACUGCAUUGUGAUCAGGAUCUACCCAGAUAAUGGCUACAGGUGUUAAUGGCUAUUGUUAUUUAUUCAGAAAGCAUACUUACUACCACCUGCCCUUCACUGCUUUAGUGGGUGGUAGGGACAUAGUAGUUCGCAAGUCACACUAGGAAGGGGGACCAGGUGGUAAGCAAAUAUACUGGGGAUAUUUCUUAAUCUCAGAAGAAAUGGUAAAAAGAAGACUUAAAAGAACAAGCCCAGAGAUAGUCUCUCUGAAGAAAUGAGGUGAGAGCAUUUUUUUCCUGAGACCUACAUCUCCAAAUAUUCAUAUUAUAAGUAAGAUAUUUUUGGCAAAAAUAAUACAAUUGUUUUCUGUAGAGAAGCAUUAAUGAGAUCAUAGGUUCCCUUUAGCUUAGAGGCAAUUAUGUGAGCUGCUAUAGAAUGUACAGGUCCUUUCUCCCCAGUGGCUGGUUCUCCAAUCACCGUUGAGCCAACCCAUGAUGCAUCAUCGCUUAGAACUUAACAGGAAAAUCAUGCAGUUCCUUGCAUUUUUUAUUCUUCUCUUCUCACCUCCAUUUGCUAUGUCCCUGGCUGUGAUCCCUAAUGUGACAGCUCCCAUCCCAGUGACUGGAUCAUGCCUCUCCUUCUACUCUAACAAAGGGAGAAUCGCAAUACCCACCCGGGAUUGGAGACAAAUAUGUGGAGAUUAAUUUUGAAACUUUCGCUUUAAACCUUGAUUUAAUCUAGUGGGCUCAAUACCACUGAAGGCAGUGUGGAGUAGCAUUGGCCGUGCAGCGAGUAUGGUCCACUCCCAGCUGCACAGAGCUGGCUGAAGGUCGGUACAAGUUUGGGAGUUUAAUAUCCCAACCUGUGGAAUGGGGCUUUGCUAGUGUACCAUGAGGAACAAUUUGGGGGAAAGACUGUUUGUACACCCCAUGAUUCUUUCUUUUCUCUUGGAUGCCUUUAUUUACUAGGAUACAGUAUAUUUCUUAUUUAGUGACUUGCUGAAAGUUUUUAAACAUCAGUUUCUCUGAUUUGUUUAAAAGUUGUUUGGAUUUUUAAGCUCUUUCCAAAGCUACCUUUGAAUAGGCCAGCUCUUAUUUUUUUUUCUUUUUCUCCCUCAAGGUGUUUUGCAUAGUUCUGAGAACAUAAGGAGUGUCUGAGACAUUACUUUCUUAUUGUUCCAUAAUGUAAUAAACGUGUGUUGGAGGUUUAAAUAUUUGUUCUAGGAACACCAUACAUUAGGGCCUGGCAUCCACCAGUACUUCCCAGCAACAUCUCUGUGCUAUAAUGGGAAUUUCCGGUUAUCUGUAAGCCUCUAGGGAAGAACCUGGAACUCACUCAAUAAACACCAGGCUAGGUGCUAGAGACACUAUGGUGAAAUACACGCAGGCUUGCAACUUACAUUCUGACACAAGAGGUAAACAUUAAACAAAUAACUUCAUUUGAUUAUGCUAUAUAAAAUGGGGCCUACCCUCUUAGAGAGUAGCCUGAGAGGGUGAAGUCUAGGGUGAUUAGGAGUUAUCCAGGGCAGCAGUGGGACACACAUUCCCCAUGCAAAUGUCCUCACUUCAAAGAGAGCCUGGUCGGUUCAGAGAACAGGAAAAGGUGAGUAAGGAGGCCACAUAGUGAGUAAAGAGAGAAAAUCAAGGUGCAGAAGACAUGGGCAGCUGGGGACGUGGGCUUACUUCGACAGUACCAAGGAGCCAUGCAGAGUGGGAAGAGCCCAGUGAUGGGAUUCAGUUUGUUUGGAAAUUAUGGUUGCAGGAUGGAAAGCAGGGUGGGACGAGUUUAGAACGGCUGUUGAGCUCUUCCUGGCAGAAGAUGAUGACUUCGAUGAGCCCAGGCACACCAGUGAUGAUGUAAGUGCUUUAUGUGUAGAUAGAUUAACGCUUCAUGCAGAAAUCUGGCCUUGAAGAUAAAGCCCUGCCGACACCGUGUCAUGGGGUGUGUGACUAUGGAAGGCACUGCUCUGGUCUCCCUUGGGUUUCUCCGUGCUCCCAGGUAUUCAGUCCAUAGCUGCCACACCAGCAUGGGAUUCACGAGCCUGUUUCAAUUGCAAUUCAUUAAAAGUAAAUAAAAUUAAAACUUCGGCACCUCAGUCACAUUUAGCCAUCUCCCGGAGGCUUAGUGGCCCACUUGGCCAGUGGCUGCUGGAGCAGAUGGCACAGCUGUGGAAGGUGGCCACCCCUGAGGACUUCUGGCCUGGCGUCCUGGAGAGUCCAGCGCUUCAUCAUUGUAGACUCUUGAGGGGUGGCAUCUCCAGACAGGAUCUCACCUUGUAGUUCAGGCUGGCCUUGAACUCUCGGUGAUCCUCCUGCCUCAGCCUCCCCAGUGCUGGGAUUAUAAGCAUGAGCCACCAUGCCCAGCUUUGGGCUCAGAACUUCUGAGUGAGCUAGAAGACUAGAAAACUACGGAAGAGUUUAAAAGACAGCAUUCUAUGCAGCACAGAGAAGAAAUUGAAAUACUGAAGGUCUGUGAUACUGAGAAUGAUGGUACAUUGUUAGGAAACCAGGAGGCUCGAGACCCUGUCCUGCUGGUGGACCUCAAGCUGCUGAGGAGAGGCCUCGCCGUCAAGUCCUGGCUCCCUCUAGCUGGAGACCUCAUUGUGAUGUAGGUGGCUCACUGAGGUACAAGCAAGGUGUCCAAAGGCAUAAUGACACCAGGCUCUCCGAGAUGGAAAAUGAAGUGAAGAGUCCCAGAACUGGCUUCUCUUUAGAAUGGAAAAGACCAAAAUUUGACAGCUGUGUUUUUCAGAAUUGUGUGCAUGAUUCAUAAGGCAUCAGGUUCUUCCUCAGCUUCGUCUUCUGCAGCCUAUGUUAUUGUCAUUUGAUACAUUCCCUUGAACUUCACCCUGGCUCUGCUCUGUGUCAUCUGGACGGUAUCCUCACAUGUGGGCUUGCAUAGUCGGGAGCGAUUUCAUCCCAGGAGUGCUCUUGGGUUUUCAUUCGGCUUUGGACUUCUCUCCACAGAGACGGUGACAGAUGGCAUGAAUUAGGACACAGGCAAAUGAUAAGCGGACAAGACAGACUGAUUUAUUAAUGAAGAUCAUGGACACCACAGUUUCUGUCCAUACAAGCAAGUCCUGAGGUAGAGGGUCCAGGUAGCUGUUUCUAAAUGCAGAGCAAAACAGCCUUAGAGGGAGACGGCAUUAAAGCCAUGCAGCACUAAUGACAGAGGGUGGCGAUGUGAAAUGGAGAAAAAGAAAACUUUUG